AUGGCGUCUCCUGCUUCUGUUACCAACCUGGGGAGCAACGGAAGGCCUGGUCCACUGCCGACAGCGGCAGUGAGGAGAGGGCACUUGGUUUCAAGGAUCAGUUUCACGGGUUUUGACGGUGUCCGGAGGUGGCCAUGUGCACCUGGAAGACUAUGUAGAUGUAUGGUCAUAACUAACUUGAUCGAUGAGAAGGGAGCUCAGUUCUCAUCAAGAGCAAGUGUGAACGUUAAAGCUGAUGAUGACAGUGAUCUUCUUUCAAAGCCCCCGCAGAGGCCAGUUCGGCUGAAUGGGCCACCAGCAAGCAUGGAUACAGCAACAACAUCAGCACCUGCCAGGAAGCCAGCAGGCGUAACAUUGCAAGACCGAGAGAAGGUCCGAGAGUCAUUGGAUGAGGUGUUGGAGAAGGCAGAGAAACUUGAGGCCUCGAGCUCCAGAAAUGUGGAUGGUGAGAACCGUGCAUUGAGACAGAAUGAUGUGGCAAAGCCUAAUAGUUCAGUGCCAAUAGUGGUGGAGGAAGGCUCGAAUUCCAAAAGGACAAAAACACUAAAGAGUGUAUGGAGAAAGGGGAACCCUGUGCCCACUGUACAUAAGGUGAUUAGAGAUCGGCCACGCACUGAAACUAGGGAUCAGUCCAUAUCUGCUGCUGAACCUUCAGUGUCAUCUCCAUCAAAACUAGCACCUCACCUACAAACAAGACCUUCUGUAGCACCACCACCUCGUCGCCCUGUCAAAGCUGACACAUCAAAGGAGAAAAAAGGACCCAUCCUGAUCGACAAAUUUGCUUCCAAGAGACCAAUGGUUGAUCCAGCUGUAGCUGAGGCACUGGUAGACCCUGUCAAGCCAGUACGCGGUCCACCAGCCAAAGCGAAGGAUAAUCGUCAUAAAAAAAUUAUUACACCAGCUGGUCCCCGCCGACGUAUGUCAAAUGAUGAUCGAUCAGUUGAUGACGACGCUCCAGUGCGCAAGGGAAGGAGGUGGAGCAAGGCAAAACGUAGGGCUGCCAGGCUUGAGGCUUUAGAAGCUGAAGAGCCUGUUAGGGUUGAGAUCCUUGAAGUUGGUGAAGAAGGUAUGGAUGUUGACGAAUUAGCAUAUCAACUGGCAGUUGGCGAAUCAGAAAUUCUGCGCUUUUUAUCAGUGAGAGGAGCAAUGCUUGACAAUGUUCAGACUCUUGAUAAAGAUUUGGUUAAGAUGGUUUGCAUGGAAUAUGAAGUUGAAGUACUGGAAAAUGGUCCGGUGAGAGUGGAAGAGAUGGCAAAGAAGAAUGAGUUCCUUGAUGAGGAGGAUUUGGAUAAACUGGAAGUAAGGCCUCCCAUUGUAACUAUCAUGGGUCAUGUUGAUCAUGGGAAGACUACUCUUUUGGAUUAUAUACGCAAGAGCAAGGUGGUGGCAUCUGAAGCUGGUGGAAUAACACAAGGAAUUGGAGCAUAUCAGGUUCUUGUGCCAGUUGAUGGAAACCCUCAGGCUUGUGUUUUUCUUGAUACUCCAGGGCAUGAGGCGUUUGGUGCAAUGAGAGCUCGAGGAGCAAAGGUAACUGAUAUCUGUAUCAUUGUUGUGUCUGCGGAUGAUGGCGUUCAGCCACAAACAAAUGAGGCAAUUGCGCAUGCAAAGGCAGCCAGAGUCCCUGUUGUAAUAGCUAUAAAUAAGGUGGACAAGGAGGGAGCUAAUCCAGAACGAGUCAUGCAAGAGCUUUCCCAGAUAGGACUUAUGCCAGAGAUGUGGGGUGGUGACACCCCGAUGGUUCAGAUAAGUGCUCUUAAGGGAGAGAAUGUUGAUGAGCUAUUAGAGACUGUCAUGCUUGUUGCUGAGUUGCUAGAAUUAAAAGCCAAUCCUCAUAGAAAUGCAAAGGGUACGGUUAUUGAAGCAUGUCUUGACAAGGCUAAAGGACCUCUUGCCACCCUAGUUGUACAGAAUGGAACCUUGAAUAAGGGCGAUAUUCUUGUUUGUGGUGAAGCUUUUGGAAAGAUCCGUGCAAUGUAUGAUGAUCGUGGAAGCCUUGUAGACCAAGCAGCGCCAUCCAACGCCGUGCAGAUGUGGUAG
rnacentral:rRNA from 1 species